rnacentral:lncRNA from 1 species
AACGUAGCUAUAUCAGCCAAUAAUUAUCUGGGAUUGGCUUUGAAAUGUCUAAUAAAAUCCUAAACUUGAAAUGUCUAACAAAAAAAUUUCUAUUCCUCGCCAGACGACAUUACAAUGAAAGGGCCAGACCCUCUUCCAUGAUUCAUAAAAAGAAGAAACAGAAACUCAGGCGAUAGGCCAAAGCCGAAACCCAGUUUUGGUCGACUCCCACUAAAAAAUUCUGGUUGUUUUCUUGGAUUCAUCUGUUGAAAUAUAUAAACAAAACAAAUACUUAAUUCUAAAUUUCAAAAAGGAAAAAAACAAGAUGGGAAAAUGAAAAGGAGUCAAGACUCAGAGAGACGGACCAGUCUCCAUCAAAAGUUGGAUUGCAAACUUUCAGAAUAGUUACAACAGAAAUUCCAGUUCAGCUCGCUUCAACACAGAUGUAACCCUCUCAAAAAAGGCAGGUUCCUUUUCCUUGAUAUCGUCAAGUGUCCUUGACUCAUGUUCAUCUGCCUGCAGAGAACAAAAGCAAAUGCUAUGCUAGUUGGUCUUUGGAAAUCUAGAAAAAUAAUUAAGUGCAAAAUAAAUACCAUCCUCUCAUCAGGGGUACAUUUGAUAACUUAGAAGCCCCUUGGGUUUUAGCCUUUAGGGGAAGGGAAGAAUAUACAGAACCCCGUCACUGACUACAAGAUGCUCUCUUUCUCUAUUUAUUUCCUAAGAUACUCC